GGGAAGGUGGCUCAGUGGUAGAGCGCUUGCCUUGCAUGCAUGAAGCCCUGGGUUUUGAUUCCUCAGCAACCCA
rnacentral:tRNA from 1 species